UACGUAGGCAGCGAGCGUUGUUCGGAGUUACUGGGCGUAAAGAGUGCGUAGGCGGUUUUCUAAGUUUGGUGUGAAAUCUCCCGGCUCAACUGGGAGGGUGCGCCGAAAACUGGAGGGCUAGAGUACUGGAUGGGAGAGUGGAAUUCCUGGUGUAGCGGUGAAAUGCGUAGAUAUCAGGAGGAACACCUGUGGUGUAGACGGCUCUCUGGACAGUAACUGACGCUGAGACACGAAAGCGUGGGUAGCAAACAGG
rnacentral:rRNA from 1 species